CUGACCUCAGCAGGAAAUGACCUGGUCUGGGGCAUUCAGGAAGGACUUCCCAAGAAGUGACAGUUCAACGGAGAUCUGAAGCCGACAUUGCAGUUACCUUGGUCUGCAUGGAAAACAAGCCUUCCUGGUGGAUGUUUUCACAGCUUAUGUAAGGAUUACCAAAUACCAGAUCUCUGCUUACCUGCCUGGACCUCCCUCUAACAGCACAUGAUUCCUUGCAGGGUGGGUUACCAGAAAGCAGGACGGAAGAAGCCUCAAC